AGAGAGAGAAAGAGGGGAGAGGCAUUCUUUAAGUCGAAGGCAGUGCUUAUGGCAGCAAUGCAGCAAGGAAAUACCAGACGCCCUGCCUCUUUAAUCGGCUUAAUAUCCACCACAAAUACACAAACAACAGCAGGUUACUUUCUCUUCUCACCGGCCUGGCCUUACCUUCUCCCACACAGAGACAGUGCAAGCCUUGAAGACUAGUUCCCUCAUGUCCAGACAAGUAGCAGGUAGUAAACAGCAAUGGUGAUUUUCUUCUCUGAAAUGGUGCCACGCCACUGCUGAGUGAAUACAGAGAGAGCGGUGUGAUGCUGAAGCCCAUGGCCAUCACGACAGGCCAGACUGUAGAUGUAGGUGGCUGGUGUCAGCAGGCUCGGAAACACCUGACCCUGGAGGAGACUGGAAAGGACUCUCUCCCUCUCUCUGCUAUCUUUGAUGAGGCUGCGAUAAACGUUUAUCUUAGAAUCAUAAGUGUACCGUUAUCUGGUAAAGUAAAGGCCCAGCCACUGACUACAUACAGUGCUGUGUGUGUACGUAUGUUUGUGUGUGUGUUUGCCCUUGUCUGUGUGCGUGCUGGCACCAGAAACACCCUGCUUGUUAAAUCAUGCCAUACAUCCCCGCCAGCUCC